UAAGUUAGAAAGGGCGCACGGUGGAUGCCUUGACACUAGGAGUCGAUGAAGGACGGGACUAACGCCGAUAUGCUUCGGGGAGCUGUAAGUAAGCUUUGAUCCGAAGAUUUCCGAAUGGGGAAACCCACCAUACGUAAUGGUAUGGUAUCCUUAUCUGAAUACAUAGGGUAAGGAAGACAGACCCAGGGAACUGAAACAUCUAAGUACCUGGAGGAAGAGAAAGCAAAUGCGAUUUCCUGAGUAGCGGCGAGCGAAACGGAACAUAGCCCAAACCAAGAGGCUUGCCUCUUGGGGUUGUAGGACAUUCUAUACGGAGUUACAAAGGAACGAGGUAGACGAAGCGACCUGGAAAGGUCCGUCGUAGAGGGUAACAACCCCGUAGUCGAAACUUCGUUCUCUCUUGAAUGUAUCCUGAGUACGGCGGAACACGUGAAAUUCCGUCGGAAUCUGGGAGGACCAUCUCCCAAGGCUAAAUACUCCCUAGUGAUCGAUAGUGAACCAGUACCGUGAGGGAAAGGUGAAAAGCACCCCGGAAGGGGAGUGAAAGAGAUCCUGAAACCGUGUGCCUACAAAUAGUCAGAGCCCGUUAACGGGUGAUGGCGUGCCUUUUGUAGAAUGAACCGGCGAGUUACGAUCCCGUGCGAGGUUAAGCUGAAGAGGCGGAGCCGCAGCGAAAGCGAGUCUGAAUAGGGCGUUUAGUACGUGGUCGUAGACCCGAAACCAGGUGAUCUACCCAUGUCCAGGGUGAAGUUCAGGUAACACUGAAUGGAGGCCCGAACCCACGCACGUUGAAAAGUGCGGGGAUGAGGUGUGGGUAGCGGAGAAAUUCCAAUCGAACCUGGAGAUAGCUGGUUCUCCCCGAAAUAGCUUUAGGGCUAGCCUUAAGUGUAAGAGUCUUGGAGGUAGAGCACUGAUUGGACUAGGGGUCCUCAUCGGAUUACCGAAUUCAGUCAAACUCCGAAUGCCAAUGACUUAUCCUUAGGAGUCAGACUGCGAGUGAUAAGAUCCGUAGUCAAAAGGGAAACAGCCCAGACCGCCAGCUAAGGUCCCAAAGUGUGUAUUAAGUGGAAAAGGAUGUGGAGUUGCUUAGACAACUAGGAUGUUGGCUUAGAAGCAGCCACCAUUUAAAGAGUGCGUAAUAGCUCACUAGUCGAGUGACUCUGCGCCGAAAAUGUACCGGGGCUAAAUACACCACCGAAGCUGCGGAUUGAUACCAAUGGUAUCAGUGGUAGGGGAGCGUUCUAAGGACAGUGAAGUCAGACCGGAAGGACUGGUGGAGUGCUUAGAAGUGAGAAUGCCGGUAUGAGUAGCGAAAGACGGGUGAGAAUCCCGUCCACCGAAUGCCUAAGGUUUCCUGAGGAAGGCUCGUCCGCUCAGGGUUAGUCAGGACCUAAGCCGAGGCCGACAGGCGUAGGCGAUGGACAACAGGUUGAUAUUCCUGUACCACCUCUUUAUCGUUUGAGCAAUGGAGGGACGCAGAAGGAUAGAAGAAGCGUGCGAUUGGUUGUGCACGUCCAAGCAGUUAGGCUGAUAAGUAGGCAAAUCCGCUUAUCGUAAAGGCUGAGCUGUGAUGGGGAAGCUCCUUAUGGAGCGAAGUCUUUGAUUCCCCGCUGCCAAGAAAAGCUUCUAGUGAGAUAAAAGGUGCCUGUACCGCAAACCGACACAGGUAGGCGAGGAGAGAAUCCUAAGGUGUGCGAGAGAACUCUGGUUAAGGAACUCGGCAAAAUGACCCCGUAACUUCGGGAGAAGGGGUGCUUUCUUAACGGAAAGCCGCAGUGAAUAGGCCCAAGCGACUGUUUAGCAAAAACACAGCUCUCUGCGAAGCCGUAAGGCGAAGUAUAGGGGGUGACACCUGCCCGGUGCUGGAAGGUUAAGGAGAGGGGUUAGCGUAAGCGAAGCUCUGAACUGAAGCCCCAGUAAACGGCGGCCGUAACUAUAACGGUCCUAAGGUAGCGAAAUUCCUUGUCGGGUAAGUUCCGACCCGCACGAAAGGUGUAACGAUUUGGGCACUGUCUCAACCAGAGACUCGGUGAAAUUAUAGUACCUGUGAAGAUGCAGGUUACCCGCGACAGGACGGAAAGACCCCGUGGAGCUUUACUGUAGCCUGAUAUUGAAUUUUGGUACAGUUUGUACAGGAUAGGCGGGAGCCUUUGAAACCGGAGCGCUAGCUUCGGUGGAGGCGCUGGUGGGAUACCGCCCUGACUGUAUUGAAAUUCUAACCUACGGGUCUUAUCGACCCGGGAGACAGUGUCAGGUGGGCAGUUUGACUGGGGCGGUCGCCUCCUAAAGUGUAACGGAGGCGCCCAAAGGUUCCCUCAGAAUGGUUGGAAAUCAUUCGUAGAGUGCAAAGGCAUAAGGGAGCUUGACUGCGAGACCUACAAGUCGAGCAGGGACGAAAGUCGGGCUUAGUGAUCCGGUGGUUCCGCAUGGAAGGGCCAUCGCUCAACGGAUAAAAGCUACCCCGGGGAUGACAGGCUUAUCUCCCCCAAGAGUCCACAUCGACGGGGAGGUUUGGCACCUCGAUGUCGGCUCAUCGCAUCCUGGGGCUGUAGUCGGUCCCAAGGGUUGGGCUGUUCGCCCAUUAAAGCGGUACGCGAGCUGGGUUCAGAACGUCGUGAGACAGUUCGGUCCCUAUCCGUCGUGGGCGUAGGAAAUUUGAGAGGAGCUGUCCUUAGUACGAGAGGACCGGGAUGGACGCACCGCUGGUGUACCAGUUGUUCUGCCAAGGGCAUAGCUGGGUAGCUAUGUGCGGAAGGGAUAAGUGCUGAAAGCAUCUAAGCAUGAAGCCCCCCUCAAGAUGAGAUUUCCCAUAGCGUAAGCUAGUAAGAUCCCUGAAAGAUGAUCAGGUUGAUAGGUUCGAGGUGGAAGCAUGGUGACAUGUGGAGCUGACGAAUACUAAUAGAUCGAGGACUUAACCA
rnacentral:rRNA from 1 species